UGGGGAAUUUUGCGCAAUGGGCGAGAGCCUGACGCAGCGACGCCGCGUGUGCGAUGAAGGCCCUUGGGUCGUAAAGCACUGUCAACUGGGACGAAAACACCUUUGCGAAUAGCAAGGGUGCUUGACGGUACCAGUAAAGGAAGCACCGGCUAACUCUGUGCCAGCAGCCGCGGUAAUACAGAGGGUGCAAACGUUGUUCGGAAUUACUGGGCGUAAAGCGCGUGUAGGCGGUUCGUUAAGUCGACUGUGAAAGCCCAUGGCUCAACCAUGGAAGUGCAGUCGAUACUGGCAGACUGGAGUCCCGGAGAGGGUGGUAGAAUUCCCAGUGUAGAGGUGAAAUUCGUAGAUAUUAGGAAGAACACCAGUGGCGAAGGCGGCUCACUGGUCCGGUACUGACGCUGAGGUGCGAAAGCGUGGGGAGCAAACAGGAUUAGAUACCCCCGUAGUCC
rnacentral:rRNA from 1 species